CUCAGAACGAACGCUGGCGGCGUGGAUAAGACAUGCAAGUCGAACGAGAGAAUUGCUAGCUUGCUAAUAAUUCUCUAGUGGCGCACGGGUGAGUAACACGUGAGUAACCUGCCCCCGAGAGCGGGAUAGCCCUGGGAAACUGGGAUUAAUACCGCAUAGUAUCGAAAGAUUAAAGCAGCAAUGCGCUUGGGGAUGGGCUCGCGGCCUAUUAGUUAGUUGGUGAGGUAACGGCUCACCAAGGCGAUGACGGGUAGCCGGUCUGAGAGGAUGUCCGGCCACACUGGAACUGAGACACGGUCCAGACACCUACGGGUGGCAGCAGUCGAGAAUCAUUCACAAUGGGGGAAACCCUGAUGGUGCGACGCCGCGUGGGGGAAUGAAGGUCUUCGGAUUGUAAACCCCUGUCAUGUGGGAGCAAAUUAAAAAGAUAGUACCACAAGAGGAAGAGACGGCUAACUCUGUGCCAGCAGCCGCGGUAAUACAGAGGUCUCAAGCGUUGUUCGGAAUCACUGGGCGUAAAGCGUGCGUAGGCUGUUUCGUAAGUCGUGUGUGAAAGGCGCGGGCUCAACCCGCGGACGGCACAUGAUACUGCGAGACUAGAGUAAUGGAGGGGGAACCGGAAUUCUCGGUGUAGCAGUGAAAUGCGUAGAUAUCGAGAGGAACACUCGUGGCGAAGGCGGGUUCCUGGACAUUAACUGACGCUGAGGCACGAAGGCCAGGGGAGCGAAAGGGAUUAGAUACCCCUGUAGUCCUGGCAGUAAACGGUGCACGCUUGGUGUGCGGGGAAUCGACCCCCUGCGUGCCGGAGCUAACGCGUUAAGCGUGCCGCCUNGGGGAGUACGGUCGCAAGAUUAAAACUCAAAGAAAUUGACGGGGACCCGCACAAGCGGUGGAGUAUGUGGCUUAAUUCGAUGCAACGCGAAGAACCUUACCUGGGCUUGACAUGUAAUGAACAACAUGUGAAAGCAUGCGACUCUUCGGAGGCGUUACACAGGUGCUGCAUGGCCGUCGUCAGCUCGUGUCGUGAGAUGUUUGGUUAAGUCCAGCAACGAGCGCAACCCCUGUUGCCAGUUACCAGCACGUGAAGGUGGGGACUCUGGCGAGACUGCCCAGAUCAACUGGGAGGAAGGUGGGGACGACGUCAGGUCAGUAUGGCCCUUAUGCCCAGGGCUGCACACGUACUACAAUGCCCAGUACAGAGGGGGCCGAAGCCGCGAGGCGGAGGAAAUCCUGAAAACUGGGCCCAGUUCGGACUGUAGGCUGCAACCCGCCUACACGAAGCCGGAAUCGCUAGUAAUGGCGCAUCAGCUACGGCGCCGUGAAUACGUUCCCGGGUCUUGUACACACCGCCCGUCACAUCAUGGAAGCCGGUCGCACCCGAAGUAUCUGAAGCCAACCGCAAGGAGGCAG
rnacentral:rRNA from 1 species